rnacentral:lncRNA from 1 species
AAUUUGAAGAUUAAAUUUUCAUCACAUGAACUUUUGGAGGACACAUUCAAAGCAUUAAUAGCCCUGGAGAUUCCCACCCUCUGCUGCAUUGGAAGAACUAAUUCUCAUGCUACAGAGAAGCUCCUGUGGAAGAAUGGUGGCAGCCUCCACCAUCUGAGAGAAAGCCCUGACAGCUAGAAAUUGAGGACCUCAGUCUUCCAUCAAUGAGAAACUUGAUUAUCCCAUCCAGCAGUAAGCUUUGAAAUGAUGCCAUCUCACAUGGGAAAUCCCAGCCCUAGGCAACACCUGUGCCCUGAUCCAUGGAAGCUGAAACGUGAGACACAUGCACUGUUUUGUGGUAAUGUUACACAGAGAUGAACAGCUACAGUCCCCGUGGGUAUGGAAUCAAGAAUUCACAUCUGCAAGGCCAUGCUGAGGCUGCUGGU